rnacentral:rRNA from 1 species
GACGAACGCUGGCGGCGUGCUUAACACAUGCAAGUCGAACGGAAAGGCCCUGCUUUUGUGGGGUGCUCGAGUGGCGAACGGGUGAGUAACACGUGAGUAACCUGCCCUUGACUUUGGGAUAACUUCAGGAAACUGGGGCUAAUACCGGAUAGGAUCUCCUGCUGCAUGGUGGGGGUUGGAAAGUUUCGGCGGUUGGGGAUGGACUCGCGGCUUAUCAGCUUGUUGGUGGGGUAGUGGCUUACCAAGGCUUUGACGGGUAGCAGGCCUGAGAGGGUGACCUGCGACAUUGGGACUGAGAUACGGCACAGACCACUACGGGAGGCAGCAGUGGGGAAUAUUGCACAAUGGGAGGAAGCAUGAUGUAGUAACGCAGCGUGCGGGAUGACGGCAUGCGGGUUGUAAACCGCUUUCGCCUGUGACGAAGCGUGAGUGACGGUAAUGGGUGAAGAAGCACCGGCUAACUACGUG